UUAGCCCAUCACGAAAUCUGAGUUUGCCUUUGGCCUUCGAAAUGUCGUGUAUAGAUUUGAUUUUGGUUUUGCAUAUUGACAACUAAAUGUAUUUAAACAUACUGCCAUAGAAGGUGCUAGCCCUGUAUGUUGUUGAUUGUCGGAAUCUACUGAUCUUAUCUUAGAGUCGUGUUGCUUGGAAGUGCAGCACAAAGUUGGUGAUAAACAUCAUCUAAGGCUAAAUAUUCCCAUGAAUCCGAUAGCGAACAAGUACUGUGAAGGAAAGUUGCAAAGCACUCCGAAGAGAGAGUUAAAGAGGACGUGAAACCGAUACGAUGGAAGCGUACAAAGCCAGUCGCAGUUUCAUUUUUUUUAAAAAUGUUUCUAAGCAUGAGAACUUUGAUUGAUCAAUUGUAAGGGUAUUUAGGUCGGCAAUCUCGAUUGUUAGUUAAAUAUCAAUAACUCUUGAUUUUGAUUAAAGCAUCAUUCAUCUGGUGAUGAUUAAUUGAAAUUUAUGUCUUUUCUUGUAUUGCACAUGUGUAAUGCUUUUUAAAAUAUGAAUGAAGGUUAAUUUAUCCAGGUUAAUUCUUAUGUAGUCCUGGUAUGUUGUACGUCCCGUCUUGAAACACGGACCAAGGAGUGUAUUACUAAAGCGAGUCAUUGACUAUUUAUACAGUCAUAGGCGUAUUGAAAAAGAUUUAAUGUAUGAGUUUUGAUUUCUAUCAAAAUGCAAUAUAAUGGUAGACUAUUAGCAUGCUAUUGUCUGCACAUAGAGCUUUAGUAGUGCGACCCGAAAGAUGGUGAACUAUGCUAGUGCAAAGUGAAGUCAGAAGAAAUUCUGAUGGAAGCUUGAAGCGGUCCUGACGUGCAAAUCGGUCGUCUGACAUUGGUAUAGGGGCGAAAGACUAAU
rnacentral:rRNA from 1 species